UACGGAGGAUGCAAGCGUUUAUCCGGAAUGAUUGGGCGUAAAGCGUCCGCAGGUGGCUAUGUAAGUCUGCUGUUAAAGAGUCUAGCUCAACUAGAUAAGAGCAGUGGAAACUACAUGGCUAGAGUGCGUUCGGGGCAGAGGGAAUUCCUGGUGUAGCGGUGAAAUGCGUAGAGAUCAGGAAGAACACCGGUGGCGAAGGCGCUCUGCUAGGCCGCAACUGACACUGAGGGACGAAAGCUAGGGGAGCGAAUGGG
rnacentral:rRNA from 1 species